rnacentral:rRNA from 1 species
GGACUUCGGUCUGGCGGCGAGUGGCGAACGGGUGAGUAAUGCAUCGGAACGUACCUUUCAGUGGGGGAUAACGUAGCGAAAGUUACGCUAAUACCGCAUAUUCUGUGAGCAGGAAAGCAGGGGAUCGCAAGACCUUGCGCUGAUGGAGCGGCCGAUGUCAGAUUAGCUAGUUGGUGGGGUAAAGGCUCACCAAGGCGACGAUCUGUAGCGGGUCUUAGAGGAUGAUCCGCCACACUGGAACUGAGACACGGUCCAGACUCCUACGGGAGGCAGCAGUGGGGAAUUUUGGACAAUGGGCGCAAGCCUGAUCCAGCCAUGCCGCGUGAGUGAAGAAGGCCUUCGGGUUGUGAAGCUCUUUCGGCCGGGAAAAAAUCGCUUGGGUUAAUACCCUGAGUGGAUGAUGGUACCGGAAUAAGAAGCACCGGCUAACUACGUGCCAGCAGCCGCGGUAAUACGUAGGGUGCGAGCGUUAAUCGGAAUUACUGGGCGUAAGCGUGCGCAGGCGGUUUUGUAAGACAGGCGUGAAAUCCCCGGGCUCAACCUGGGAACUGCGUUUGUGACUGCAAGGCUAGAGUAUGGCAGAGGGGGGUGGAAUUCCACGUGUAGCAGUGAAAUGCGUAGAGAUGUGGAGGAACACCAAUGGCGAAGGCAGCCCCCUGGGCCAAUACUGACGCUCAUGCACGAAAGCGUGGGGAGCAAACAGGAUUAGAUACCCUGGUAGUCCACGCCCUAAACGAUGUCAACUAGGUGUUGGGUGGGUAAAACCAUUUGGUACCGUAGCUAACGCGUGAAGUUGACCGCCUGGGGAGUACGGCCGCAAGGUUAAAACUCAAAGGAAUUGACGGGGACCCGCACAAGCGGUGGAUGAUGUGGAUUAAUUCGAUCCUACACGAAGAACCUUACCUGGGCUUGACAUGCAAGUGGUAGGGAUCCGAAAGGUGACCGACCCGCAAGGGAGCUUGCACAGGUGUUGCAUGGCUGUCGUCAGCUCGUGUCGUGAGAUGUUCGGUUAAGUCCGCUAACGAGCGCAACCCUUGCUGUAUGUUACAUGUGUCAUACGGGACCGCCGGUAUUAAGCCGGAGGAAGGUGGGGAUGACGUCAAGUCAGCAUGGCCUUUAUGUCCAGGGCUACACACACGCUACAAUGGGCAGUACAAUGGGUCGCUAAGCCGCGAGGUGGAGCCAAUCCCCAAAGCUGUCCUCAGUUCGGAUCGCAGGCUGCAACCCGCCUGCGUGAAGUCGGAGUUGCUAGUAAAUGCGCGUCAGCUAUAGCGCAUUGAAUACGUUCUCGGGCCUUGUACACACCGCCCGUCACGUCAUGGGAGCUGGUAACACCUGAAGCCGGUAGUCUAACCGCAAGGAGGACGCCGUCGAAGGUGGUGCUGGUGACUAGGACGAAGUCGUAACAAGGUA